UGCAGUCGAGGGGUAUAUUUCUUCGGAGAUAGAGACCGGCGCACGGGUGCGUAACGCGUAUGCAAUCUACCUUUUACAGAGGGAUAGCCCAGAGAAAUUUGGAUUAAUACCUCAUAGCAUUGCAGAAUGGCAUCAUUCAGCAAUUAAAGUCACAACGGUAAAAGAUGAGCAUGCGUCCCGUUAGCUAGUUGGUAAGGUAACGGCUUACCAAGGCUACGAUGGGUAGGGGUCCUGAGAGGGAGAUCCCCCACACUGGUACUGAGACACGGACCAGACUCCUACGGGAGGCAGCAGUGAGGAAUAUUGGACAAUGGGCGCAAGCCUGAUCCAGCCAUGCCGCGUGCAGGAUGACGGUCCUAUGGAUUGUAAACUGCUUUUAUACGAGAAGAAACACUACUUCGUGAAGUAGCUUGACGGUAUCGUAAGAAUAAGGAUCGGCUAACUCCGUGCCAGCAGCCGCGGUAAUACGGAGGAUCCAAGCGUUAUCCGGAAUCAUUGGGUUUAAAGGGUCCGUAGGCGGUUUAAUAAGUCAGUGGUGAAAGCCCAUCGCUCAACGGUGGAACGGCCAUUGAUACUGUUAAACUUGAAUUAUUAGGAAGUAACUAGAAUAUGUAGUGUAGCGGUGAAAUGCUUAGAGAUUACAUGGAAUACCAAUUGCGAAGGCAGGUUACUACUAAUGGAUUGACGCUGAUGGACGAAAGCGUGGGUAGCGAACAGGAUUAGAUACCCUGGUAGUCCACGCCGUANACGAUGGAUACUAGCUGUUGGAAGCAAUUUCAGUGGCUAAGCGAAAGUGAUAAGUAUCCCACCUGGGGAGUACGUUCGCAAGAAAUGAACUCAAAGGAAUUGACGGGGGCCCGCACAAGCGGUGGAGCAUGUGGUUUAUU
rnacentral:rRNA from 1 species